UUGGUAAUAGGUCAGUUAGACCCAGAGGGAG
rnacentral:piRNA from 1 species